rnacentral:rRNA from 1 species
AGUGAACGCUGGCGGCGUGCCUGACACAUGCAAGUCGCGCGAGAUUUUACGGGGCAUUGUAGGGUCUAGCGGCAGACGGGUGAGUAACACGUAGGGAACCUUCCUCAGAAUGGGGAAUAUCUCCGAGAAAUCGGAGUCAAUACCGCAUAAGACCACAGUUUGGCAUCAAACAGAGGUCAAAGCAGCAAUGCGUUUUGAGAUGGUCCUGCGGCCUAUCAGCUAGUUGGUUGGGUAAUGGCCUACCAAGGCUAUGACGGGUAUCCGGCCUGAAAGGGUGAACGGACACACUGGAACUGAGACACGGUCCAGACUCCUACGGGAGGCAGCAGUGGGGAAUUUUGGACAAUGGGGGAAACCCUGAUCCAGCGACGCCGCGUGGAGGAUGAAGGCCUUAACGGUUGUAAACUCCUUUUAGAGGGGAAGAAAAAAAUGACGGUACCCUCAGAAAAAGCCACGGCUAACUACGUGCCAGCAGCCGCGGUAAUACGUAGGUGGCGAGCGUUACUCGGAAUUACUAGGCGUAAAGCGUAUGUAGGCGGUCAUAUAAGUCUUUAGUGAAAUUUAUCGGCUUAACCGGGAAAGGUCUAAGGAUACUGUUUGACUUGAGUGUGGGAGGGGGAGACGGAAUUCCUGGUGUAGCGGUGGAAUGCGUAGAUAUCAGGAGGAACACCGAUGGCGAAAGCAGUCUUCUGGCCCAAUACUGACGCUAAUGUACGAAAGCUAGGGUAGCAAACAGGAUUAGAUACCCUGGUAGUCCUAGCUGUAAACGAUGUUCACUAGAUGUGGGAGGUAUCGACCCCUUCCGCGUCGACGCUAACGCAUUAAGUGAACCGCCUGGGGAGUACGACCGCAAGGUUGAAACUCAAAGGAAUUGACGGGGGCCCGCACAAGCGGUGGAGUAUGUGGUUUAAUUCGACGCAACGCGAAGAACCUUACCUGGGCUUGAACUGCUAAUGGUAAAAGCCGGAAACGGUGAUGACCCGCAAGGGAGUUAGUAGAGGUGCUGCAUGGCUGUCGUCAGCUCGUGUCGUGAGAUGUUGGGUUAAGUCCCGCAACGAGCGCAACCCUUAUCCCAUGUUGCCUGUAGCAAUACAGGAUCUCUGAGGAAACUGCCAUUGAUAAAAUGGAGGAAGGUGGGGACGAAGUCAAGUCAUCAUGGCCUUUAUGUCCAGGGCUACACACGUACUACAAUGGCCGGUACAGAGGGCAGCGAUAUCGCAAGGUGGAGCAAAUCCCUAAAAGCCGGUCUCAGUUCGGAUUGUGGGCUGCAAUUCGCCCACAUGAAGUAGGAAUCGCUAGUAAUCGCAGAUCAGCAGGCUGCGGUGAAUACGUUCCCGGGC